GUAAUGGCACAGUCACCUGUAGUGUGCACAACUGCAGAUUACAAACUAGGGAAUGACGUUUCUCAUCACGUGGGUGGCUGGGGCAGGCGCCAUUGGACGACGUGUCCAGCCAAUGCGGUGCGUUUGCCCUUCGGUACGGACGCUGUCGCUGGCCGGCAGGGUGUGAAGCUACUGCGGCCAUGGUGCGGCUCUCGGGCGCCCUCAUGUUCCGCAGGACAGAUGCGAAACGCUUCAAAUUCUGGCCCCCGAGGUUGGACCUAGAUAGCGUGAACUGGAGGACGCAUCUGUCAAUGAUUUACGCCGUUAGCGUCUGGACCAUGAUCGGCUCCGUGGCGUACAUGCAGUGGAUGACGGGCAAAAGCAUAGAAAAGAAACCCUCAGAGACAGACGAAAACACUGUAGAAGAUCCAUCAGAGCUGGCGGCACGGGGUAUUCCUGAAGAACCAAAGGGAAAAAUUAAUUUUGAAGUCACAGUUGUAUAUAGAGACAACUUUGUGCCUUUAACAACAAGACUUUACCAGUAUUUUAAUUCAAGUAAAGACAGUUCAACAGAAAAAUAGUACAUACUGUGUAUAAUGAUGUCAUUAAUAUAAUUAUUCCUGUGCUGUCUUUCUUCUCUGUUUUAUCAAGCUUAAGCUUGGUAAAAAGAACAUAGCUGCCCAAAAUGUUGCUGUGUAACAUGCUAUAUGCUGAAAUAAACACUUUGGUGUUUGGUUCUCUA